CACGUAGGGAGCAAGCGUUGUCCGGAUUUAUUGGGCGUAAAGAGCUCGUAGGUGGUUCGGUAAGUCAGGUGUGAAACCUCCAGGCUCAACCUGGAGACGCCACUUGAUACUGCUGUGACUGGAGUCCGGUAGGGGAGCGUGGAAUUCCUGGUGUAGCAGUAAAAUGCGCAGAUAUCAGGAGGAACACCAGCAACGAAGGCGGCGCUCUGGGCCGGUACUGACACUGAGGAGCGAAAGCGUGGGUAGCAAACAGG
rnacentral:rRNA from 1 species